UGCUGAUGAUGACAUGUUUGUUCCUGAUGCUAACUGAGGGUAAAAUCUGAUUUAAUGAGCCUGAUGC